rfam:Larimichthys crocea isolate SSNF unplaced genomic scaffold scaffold366, whole genome shotgun sequence.
UCCUCGUUAGUAUAGUGGACAGUAUCUCCGCCUGUCACGCGGAAGACAGGGGUUCGAUUCCCCGACGGGGAG